UGGGGAAUAUUGGACAAUGGGCGCAAGCCUGAUCCAGCAAUGCCGCGUGUGUGAAGAAGGCCUUCGGGUUGUAAAGCACUUUUAUCAGGAGCGAAACGCUGUCGGCUAAUACCCGGCGGAACUGACGGUACCUGAGGAAUAAGCACCGGCUAACUUCGUGCCAGCAGCCGCGGUAAUACGAAGGGUGCAAGCGUUAAUCGGAAUUACUGGGCGUAAAGCGUGCGUAGGCGGUUUCUUAAGUCUGCUGUGAAAUCCCCGGGCUCAACCUGGGAAUGGCAGUGGAUACUGGGAGGCUAGAGUGUGUCAGAGGGUGGUGGAAUUCCCGGUGUAGCGGUGAAGUGCGCAGAGAUCGGGAGGAACAUCAGUGGCGAAGGCGGCCACCUGGGACAACACUGACGCUGAGGCACGAAAGCGUGGGGAGCAAACAGGAUUAAAUGACCCUGGUAGUCCACGCCCUAAAGCGAUGCGAACUGGAUGUUGGUCUCAACUCGGAGAUCAGUGUCGAAGCUAACGCGUUAAGUUCGCCGCCUGGGGAGUACGGUCGCAAGACUGAAACUCAAAGGAAUUGACGGGGUCAUAGCUGUUUCC
rnacentral:rRNA from 1 species